AUACGUAGGUGGCGAGCGUUGUCCGGAAUUAUUGGGCGUAAAGAGCAUGUAGGCGGUUUUUAAGUCCGGAGUGAAAAUGCGGGGCUCAACCCCGUAUGGCUCUGGAUACUGGAAGACUUGAGUGCAGGAGAGGAAAGGGGAAUUCCCAGUGUAGCGGUGAAAUGCGUAGAUAUUGGGAGGAACACCAGUGGCGAAGGCGGCUUUCUGGACUGUAACUGACACUGAGGCACGAAAGCGUGGGGAGC
rnacentral:rRNA from 1 species